GCCCUGAACAGGGAAGUGGGCGGCAGCGUUAGGGGUAGCUUAGGUAUAGCCCUAGGUAGGGAGUAGGAAAGGACAGGUUACUUCGGCGACGAUCGGAGUAGGAGGUACCCCUAGGUGGGGCUUAGAGAAGGUUGUUUGGUGGCGUCCUCGAGGGAGGAGGGCUAGACGGAGGUACGGAGGAGGGCGGCAGCUGGCGCUCGGUCCUCGGGCUCGAGGAGAAGGGCUCGACGUCGUUGGGGCGUCGCAGGUUGGAGCGGCCGGAGGUCCUGGAGACGAAGACGAGACAAAAGAAGAAGGGGGAGAGGGCUAAAGAAGGAGAGAGUGCGUGGAGGUAGAGAGAGUCCAUGCGGUACUCGUCGCGGUACCUACCCGAGGAGGUCGGCUACGGUUCAGGGGCGGCACCGGCGGCAAACAAGAGUAGCGACGGAAAGCCUAGGGGCGACCUAGUCGGAGGAGGCGCUCGGGAAGAACGGCCUCGGGGAGCUGGAGCUGGUGGAUGGCGGUACCUGGUCGCGGUGGCGGCCUCUACGGGGCAGGCGGCGGGCUUGGACGGUUUUUUUGCUCGAGGUCGUCCCGGCGGGAAAGGAAGGGGCACGAGAGGAGCGCGUGAAGAAGAGGGAAGAGAGGAGGGGUGAGUGGGCUCGGAGAGAGAGAGAGAGAGAGAGAGAGAGAGAGAGAGACAGGCGUCCUCAUACGGUGACGGCGGCCCUAGAAGAGCGGCAGCGACAACCAGCCUAGGUCGGCGGGGACAAAGGUCGGCGCGGAGAGGUACGGAUUCUUGCCGCCGGUAGAGGGAGCGGCGUGAGGGAGGCAAGGAACGCGGGUGCAGCGGCUUCAGGUAGCACGGUGGCCACAGUCGGACUUGGACGGCUACAGCAAGACGAAGUCUUUGCUCGUCUCACGGAGCCGGCGAGCGCGCCUGGGUAAGGUCUAGCUGGCGUGUACGGACCCGGCCGGAGCGGAGCCGGGUCGACCGCCGGAUGGUCGAGGAGGUGACUGACCCGAACCGGGUACCACUCCGGGUCAGGCGGGGUCAAAACCGGGGCAUUACAAAAAAAUAACAGACCUCUAAACAGAUAAAAAGGGUCUCAGUCGACAAAACGUCCUUUGGGGGACCUGUAGUACGUAAAAUAUUGAGAGGUUAGCACGUAGCCUAAUUUUGUUUGAAUUAUACUUUGAACGAAUCUAAAAGUAGAUCAAAUUAUUAUACGGUGAAAGUAGAUACAAAUUUUACAAAUUUUACAACAAACAAAUUUAAAAGAAUUUAUUGAACGAUUUUACGAAAUAAAGUAUUGAUUAAUAGGCAUCGGGGUUUAAUUUAUUAGAAAUAUACAUUUACCCCAUCUUUUUACGGAUCAAAUUGUACCACCGAAAUGAAACGUACAAAUUGUUGAGAUUUUAACACAAAUCCCGUCUUGUUAUGGUUUAGGUAUAAAACGUGUACUCCUAAAAAGGCCUGAACAACGAACAACAAGGCCGGAGUAAAUUUGAACGGAUCUAUCCAUCAAAAUGAAACGAAGUGGGGAACGGUACGAUUUGUUGUAAGUUAGAACAACACAUGUAUUUGCUCUAGCUUGAUUCAUUGAGCUUACACCACAAGACAUUUAUACAUAGGGCAACGUAUAGCUCGAGGUGAAUUAAACAUCCUAACGAACACGUGAAACGGUACGGUACGGAGUAAUUUGGCCUGUACGUAGUAUGAACUAACACGUAGUACGGUACUAAUACACUACCAACAAAUGAUACAACACGAAGAAAGGCCACAACGAAGAAGCCCAACCAAGGCUAUUGCAGCGCAAACACUCCUUGACAAGCUGAUGCAGGCAAACAGAAGAAGUACCUGAGCAAGAAGAAGGAACGUCCUAAAGUCAAACGUCCACGGCUACUAUGGCACGUCCACUGCGUUGAUUCGAGUUCCUCCUCGAGCUACUUCUAGAACAGGAAAUACAACAAAGCAAGAUCAACUAGUCAUCACCUCGGGUCAACCCCAGCUAGCCCCUAGACACAUCGUAAACCCCAUCAGAAGAAAAUAAAACCAAGGCAUCAGCCUGGAACUAACAUAGACCUACUACAUUACAAAAUAAGUACAUAACACACUUCACCGUUAACAUUCUGUUGAUACAUAGAAAAGG
rnacentral:rRNA from 1 species